rnacentral:rRNA from 1 species
GGAGUUAGCCGGUGCUUCUUCUGUGAGUGAUGUCCUUCCUGCCGGUUAUUGACCCGCAGGCCUUCUUCCUCACUGAAAGUGCUUUACAACCCGAAGGCCUUCUUCACACACGCGGCAUGGAUGGACUCAGGGUUGCCCCCAUUGUCCAAUAUUCCCCACUGCUGCCUCCCGUAGGAGUCUGGGCCGUGUCUCAGUCCCAGUGUGGCUGAUCAUCCUCUCAGACCAGCUACGGAUCGUCGCCUUGGUGAGCCGUUACCUCACCAACCAGCUAAUCCGACAUAGGCUCAUCCGAUAGCGCGAGGCCCGAAGGUCCCCCGCUUUCCCCCGUAGGGCGUAUGCGGUAUUAGCCUGGGUUUCCCCAGGUUAUCCCCCACUACCGGGCAGAUUCCUAUGCAUUACUCACCCGUCCGCCGCUCGCCACCAGGGAGCAAGCUCCCCGUGCUGCCGCUCGACUUGCAUGUGUUAGGCCUGCCGCCAGCGUUCAAUCUGAGCCAUGAUCAAACUCUGA